UACGGAGGGUGCAAGCGUUAAUCGGAAUUACUGGGCGUAAAGCGUGCGUAGGCGGUUCGUUAAGUCUGUUGUGAAAGCCCCGGGCUCAACCUGGGAAUGGCAAUGGAUACUGGCGAGCUAGAGUGUGUCAGAGGAUGGUGGAAUUCCCGGUGUAGCGGUGAAAUGCGUAGAGAUCGGGAGGAACAUCAGUGGCGAAGGCGGCCAUCUGGGACAACACUGACGCUGAGGCACGAAAGCGUGGGUAGCAAACAGG
rnacentral:rRNA from 1 species